rnacentral:ribozyme from 1 species
AACAGGAUAUCUCCUGUAGGUCUGGUGUCAGUGUAUGUAGCAAUACUCCAUACCCUACUCCGACUCAAUACGUCCCCGUCGUACAGAACGGUAACAUAUCUCUCCAAAUAUCUGAGCCCAACUUCUAAUAUCUGAGCCCCAGGGAUCUGAGCCUAAUAUAUCUGAGCCCCACUGAAACCCAAGUUCUUGGGAAGAUUUGGCAUAUGGCUAAAUUGAGCGGA